AAAAAAAGCAAACCCUGGUUUCCGUGUCCAACGUUUGACCGUCCGUCUUAUUUAAAAAAUUUAUGAAAAAAUUAAAAAGAUAAGUCACGCACAAAGUAUUAAUCAUGUUUUAUCAUCUAACAACAAUAAAAAUACAAAUUAUAAAAAAAUUCAUAUAAAAUAGACAGAUAAAGUUGGACACGGAAACCAAGGGUUUGUCUUUUU
rnacentral:pre_miRNA from 1 species